rnacentral:rRNA from 1 species
CCUACGGGUGGCUGCAGUGAGGAAUUUUGGUCAAUGGGCGCGAGCCUGAACCAGCCAAGUAGCGUGAAGGAUGACUGCCCUACGGGUUGUAAACUUCUUUUAUAAAGGAAUAAAGUGAGGAACGUGUGCCUUUUUUUAUGUACUUUAUGAAUAAGGAUAGGCUAACUCCGUUCCAGCAGCCGCGGUAAUACGGAGGAUCCGAGCGUUAUCCGGAUUUAUUGGGGUUAAAGGGAGCGUAGAUGGGUUGUUAAGUCAGUUGUGAAAGUUUGCGGCUCAACCGUAAAAUUGCAAUUGAUACUGGCAGCCUUGAGUACAGUUGAGGUAGGCGGAAUUCGUGGUGUAGCGGUGAAAUGCUUAGAUAUCACGAAGAACUCCGAGUGCGAAGGCAGCUUACUAAACUGCCACUGACAUUGAUGCUCGAAAGUGUGGGUAUCAAACAGGAUUAGAUACCUUGUAGUC